rnacentral:lncRNA from 1 species
GAAAGACAGAGUUAGGGGGCUGGGGGUGGGGAGAGAGAGAGAGCGAGAGAGAGCUGUCUUUCAUCUGCUGGUUCACUCCCCAAAUAGCUGCAAUGACUGGGACUGGGCCAGGCUGAAGCCAGGAGCCAGGAGCUUCUUCCAGGUCUUCCACGUGGUGCAGGGGCCCAAGAACUUGGAUCAUCCUCUGCUGCUUUCCCAGGUGCAUUAGCAGGGAGCUGGAUCAGAAGUGGAGCAGCUGGGCCUGGAACUGGUGCCCGCAUAGGAUGCCAGCGCUGCAAGUGGCGGCUUUACUGACUAGACCACAGCACUGGCCCCAGGUGGAAUGAUUUCUGAAGGAUCCCCAAGAACUAAGAGGGCUGCUCAGUAUUUCCUCAUGGAAAAUAAGGAGCCAUUGUCAGAGUUAUCUCCUGGACCAAAGCGCCAGGAAGAAUGCGGUGGCGGCGGGGAAGUCCCACUACUCCAUCUGUUCCGGAUGCAAGGCAAUUAACACAGCAGAAGACAGGAGCUGCUCAGGGGCCUCUGGGCGCGGGGACCCUGCCCGCCUCCUCUCUGGAGCGGCCUCGUGGCUGGGAGGCCGGGCUCGCGGAGCUCACGUGGUGGCAGGCGAUGCAGACCUGACGCUCCGGGUCCCUGUGGCCUUGCUCCUCUACCCAGCUGAUGUUUCCUGGUCACCUGCUACGUCCCAAGGGCUCUAUGGAGAUCUCCUGAUGGAACCCCAUGGUGAUGUGUUUUCUAGGCCCAUUUUAUAGUCAGAGGCACAGAGGCAGACGGAUGUGUGCAGGGCUCUGGACAGGGAGGUGGCUGAACAUUUCACAGACAUUCGAGGAGAUUCAACUGUGUGGGACUUGCCUAGGCACCGGGGGUGGAACUGAAAUUUGAAGUCAGGGCAAGCAAAGAAGGGCGUGGCUAGUUCAGGGCAAGACUAAUUCUGUGGGAUAAAGCCAACAAUGGCGUCUCUUCUCUUCUCCAAUCAGCUUGAAGGUUGAGUGGCCUACGUAGCCAUCCAGGUGGUCCUCACGGGUCUGGGCCACACCUGGGAGCUGUU